rnacentral:ncRNA from 1 species
UAAGUUUUAGGUGCUUUCUGUUGAAAGCUUAAAAGGGAAAGUGGUGAAAAGCCAUUGCAGCCCCGCUACUGUAUACGUGGACAAAAUUCUAUUGCCACUGAGGAUAUUAUUAUAUAUCUUUGGGAAGGAGGAUGGAGGAUGAAACGUGAGCCAGGAGACCUGCCUAGAGACU